rnacentral:lncRNA from 1 species
UCAGCGAGAGCUAAGCACAGUGCGAGACUCAGCCUCCAGAUCUAACUGGCUUUUUUUUUUUGGGGGGGGGGGUUGUGGGAAUCUUGUUUUUGGAUGGCCGGGGAAACUCCCCACCCCCUUCCGCAGCCCCUGCAACUUGCGGUGGCUUCUGUGCAGCUCGUGGGGUGCCUCUCAGCCUCAAAGUUUGCCUCCCUUCCCGGAAAAACAACCGGGUGUCAGCAUCCCUCCCCAUCUUCCCAGGUCCUGACUGUUGCGCAGUGAGUGGAUAGCGGGUCGCCGGGAGGGAGUCGCUGUGGGUGGAGAUUGGAGCGCUUAGGUGGAGGACGAGGGGGAGGAGGAGGAGGAGCAGGGCGAGGACCAGGAGGAGCCGGAGGAGGAGGAGGAGGCGGUGGCGGAGGAGGAGGAGAAGAAGAAGAAGCAGCAACUCUCGAGUGUCCACGGUGACCCUUGGCGUGUAAACUGGAGCGGCAGGGGCUCGCGCGCAGGAGUCCAGUACGAUGUGACCCAGGGGGCUGGGGACUGCUUUGAAGGACCCUCUUUGGAGGGGGUUGCCGUGUGUGUCUCUGUGUGUGACCGAGUGUCAGAGAGAGUCCGUUUAGGGCUCAGCGCCCUCUCUUCCUCUGGGCACCACUGGGCAGCGAAAAGCUUGGCACCGAGGAGACAGCCUGCGGGACCCGGGGCUCCUGCCCUUCCUGGCCUCUCGGACUGGGAGCUACGGGGAGUCCAACCUCGCCGAGAGGUGGCAGAGGCAGCUGAGGAGUCUGCAGGAGCUCCGGUAGAGGCAGCAAGGACAGAGGCAGCACCGGGCAGAGGUGGACAGUGGCAUCCACAGCUGCUGCUGGGGGAUGAAAAGAAGCCUCUUAAAAAAGAUGUCCAGAGGAGGUGUGGAGUGAGUGAAUUCCAGAUGUGGAAGAAAACCAGAAUGAAGACAAAGAGAUAAGAGAUGAAUUGUCAUGUUUCUUAUAGCAAGACACUCUGUGGAGCUGGUAAGUGAAGAAUCAACAUCAUGUGGACAGGUUGGAAGAAUUUAUGUUGUAAAGAGCCUUAGAUAUUCAAAAGAGAUGGAAGGAGCAUCACUGGAUUUUAUUGAAUAAUAUGGUAUCAUCGUCAGACCUAUACAUUAGAAAAUGUGAACCAUAUAGGAUAAAGGGGAGAAAAGGUCAUAAGACCAAACAGAUGGCUCUUUCAAUAAUCCUGAGGGGGAGCUGAACUAUUGUUCAUGAAUGGAAAGAAAUACAAAUUGAAAGACUUAUUGUGAUAGAAUGACAAGAUGAAGCAACUCACUGGAUUUGUGGAGAGAGACAGAAGUAAAGAACUAUGGUGAUGCCCCAGUGCUAAUAGGAAAGCUGGAAGAGGUCUCACAAAAUUAAUCCAAACCAAUUUUUUCAUUUUACAUAUGUGGAAACUGAGGUCCUAAUAUGUUAAAUGAUUCAUCCAAGACUGU